CAACUCUGGUUUCUCUUCAGAUCACAUAAAUCUUUCAUCUUUUACUAAAGAUUUCCGUGGAGAGGAACAAUUCUGGGUCUUUAUCCAAUUUUUUGUUUCGGCAAGGCCAUUUAAAA
ensembl:snRNA U5 U5 spliceosomal RNA